GACGAACGCUGGCGGCGUGCUUAACACAUGCAAGUCGAACGAAGUGGCGAACGGGUGAGUAACGCGUAAUCAACCUGCCCUUCAGCGGGUGACAACAGUUGGAAACGACUGCUAAUACCGCAUACUGAAGAUGGGGAUUGCGUGUGAUAAGCUGGUUGGGGGGGUAACGGCCCACCAAGGCGAUGAUCAGUAGCCGGCCUGAGAGGAUGAUCGGCCACAUGGGGACUGGGACACGGCCCAGACUCCUACGGGAGGCAGCAGUGGGGAAUCUUGGACAAUGGGGGAAACCCUGAUCCAGCCAUCCCGCGUGAGCGAAGAAGGCCUUCGGGUUGUAAAGCACUGUUGGCAGGAAAGCGGUACCUGCAGAAUAAGCACCGGCUAACUACGUGCCAGCAGCCGCGGUAAUAC
rnacentral:rRNA from 1 species